GUCUCUGUGGUCUAAUGGAUAUGAUACUUGCCUUGGCAGCGAGAGGUUGUAGGUUCGUAUCCUGCCAGAGACA